CAGGUCCCUUUUGACAAUUCGCAUGCACAUGUUGUAGGUUUCCACCCCCUCCAUAAACCCCUUUUGGAUGAUCCAGCGAACUCUUUGAAUUCGAUGCAGCAACCUGACUAUUUUUGUGUUGAAACUGCCCAGUAUUCACAUAAUAUCCACUAUAAUUACCCUUCCUCUUAUUUGGAUUAUUUUGAUUAACACUCCUACUGCUUUCCCAACAACUCCCAUUAAAAUUC
rnacentral:misc_RNA from 1 species